rnacentral:rRNA from 1 species
CCUACGGGAGGCAGCAGUGGGGAAUAUUGCACAAUGGGCGCAAGCCUGAUGCAGCAACGCCGCGUGCGGGAUGACGGCCUUCGGGUUGUAAACCGCUUUCAGCUAAGACGAAGCGUGAGUGACGGUACGUGGAGAAGAAGCACCGGCUAACUACG